AGAGAGCGAACGAGAGAGACGGGCUAGGGAGAAGGGCGGCGUGCGGCUUUGUCCCGUGUGGAGUUUUUCUGGACCCGCGCGGAAGAGAAACGCAUUUACCACGGAAAGGGGAAGCGCGGAGAAAAAGGGAGCUGCCAAGCAGAUCCAGCGACGGAGCGCCGAUCCCUUUCCCUUCUCUUCCAAAGCGCUGUCGGUGUUGCCGCCGGCCGAGGAUGUUGGCCGGGCGCAGCGGCGGCUGGAAUACAUAGCCGGCGGGCAGGCGGGGGAGAGUUAGGGCUAGCCGCAGGUAGCCCGCGUGGCAUGUGAAAGGAGACUCGUCCGAGCGCGCAGAAAUCAGGGAUAACUCAGUUAUCUGGGAUCCUCGAGGAACCGGCUGAACCCGGGUCCUCGAAGGCUGACCGUUGCAAGGAAGGAAACUAAGUUCGUGGCCGGGACCCCCGCCUUUACGUUCCACCCUGAGGAUGUUCUAGAAGGCGGACUAUUAGUACUAACUUUGGGUGGUGGUGACAGGCGACGAACGCCGGCAGUUGGAGUAAAGAAGAAUGACACCGGCGUGGUGGUGAUUUUUAAUUCCUCUCCCCCCCCUCCCCGAGUUCCACGCAGCACGCAGACGCGCGCCCAAGAUUCACACGCGCGCACACGCGCGCACCCAGAGUUGGAAGGGGCCAAACAAAACUUUGCGCCCGAAUCUUGGACCCAAGCACGGAUUCCUGCUGGCGACGGAAUCCCUCAAAGUGGUUUGGAUGGAAGUACUCAGUGAUGAACACACCUACAUUCUGGAAGCAGGACAAAGAAGAACAGCUGAAAAACUUCUCAAGAUGAUGGUGGAACACUGGCCAGCUCCAUAAAUAAAAGGACCAGAAGAUCUGAUGGCCUCUUUGCCUGGAAAGAAGUUAUGAAAAUCAGUGUCUCCCAGGGGUGGGUUCUACUUACCUUUACUACCGGUUCGCAACUGAAUUGUGCGUACAUGCUCACUUCACUCGCGCAUACGCCUUGCUUCUGCACAUGCGCAGAUCGCUUCUCAUGGUCAGGGUCAGUGGGCGGAGCCUCCCGACGGUUUUACUACCGGUUCUAUAGAACCAGUCCGAACCGGGGGCAACCCACCACUGGUGUCUCCCCUUUGAAAAUGGUUUCUCAUACUAGCGUUAGUGAAGAUAUGGACAUGAUCAUUGUGGCCAAAUAUUUAUUUAUUAAAUAUAUACCUACCUGUUCUGCCCCAGCUACAGACCCCAAAGAAUACAGCACACACAAAGUUUGUACAAAACUUAAUUUACUAAAAUAACUCAGUCUUUUUCAAAGCAAAGGCUGUUAAGAAACUUUCUUAACAGCCUACAAGAAAUCAAAGAUAAAGUAAUCACAAUCUUACUAAGGUUGGCAGAAAGCCCAGAAGCAAUUUGCAGAGAAUCCAGAUGCGAAGUAGAGUGAACUAAAGUUGUUCCCUACAAAUUGCUUCAGUCAGCGUUCCUCCUUAAAUAGGCUAAGGGAGUGGCCAAUUAGCCCCAAGCCUUACUCUCAAGGAGACCUCCUCCUGAGGAGCCAGUCCUGCCUUUUGGCUGCUCUGCAUGCCCGUGCAUCGAGAAGAGGCUCCGUCCUCUUCACUUAUGGGAACGCCCUGGCUGAAUCCCCACCUCUGGCACCACAUCUUCUCCAGCCUCCUCAUUGUCCGACUCGAGUGCCAGCUGCACAGGCUGCUGGCGCAACACCACACCAGCCUCCUCGCUGUCAGAGUCAGCUACAAUCCGCACAGGCCACUGACGGGCCACAACACUACCCUGUUUCCCCAAAAAUAAGACAUCCCCUGAUAAUAAGCCCAAUCGGGCUUUUGAGCACAUGGCAAUAAGGCCAAGCACUUAUUUCAGGGUUCAAAAAAAUAUAAGACAGGGUCUUAUUUUCAGGGAAACAUGGGUAAAGCAUUCCCUUUUAUACUUUUCUCCCCAACAUCUGAAGGGGGUAGGUGGGGCUAAGACAAAAAGAUGAGGCUAAAGUCAACCAGUGAGCUUCCAAAAUGAGGGUGGAUUAGAACCCAAGUCUCCCAUUUCUGUUCAAGCACCUUUUCAACUACUCUCCAUUAACUAUUGGGCUGAGAAGAAGAGACUAGCCCCCCAAGUCAUCCAGGACAACCGGGUCAAAGAAGGACUUAGAACCCGAUUCUUCUUUUGCCUAGUCCAAUAUUUUCAACAUUAUGCCAUGCUGGAUCUCCAGUAUGACCUUCUUUGAAUGUCUACAGUAGUGGCCAAAAUUGUGGAAAACUUUUGGGAAAAGUGUAUUUUCUAAAACUAGCUAAUAACACCACUUUUUUGGGAGUAGUACCAUAAAAUUAUAUAUCAAUGGAAAGAUAAUUUAAGCAAGAAUGUAAUGCAAUAACUUUUAUGAAGGAUUUGCUAUUAGAAUAGCAGUUACAGCAUAAAGAAGAAAAGUGAAAUACAUAGAAAAAACGAGAUAUACAAAAAUUAUCACCAUAGAAAAAACGAGAUAUACAAAAAUGAUCCCCAUGUCAUUUAAUACUUAGUUGGGUAACCUUUAGCAUGAAUGACGGCCUUACAACGUCUUCCCAUGGAGUGAAUCAAGUCUUUUAGUUCUGCAGCUGUUAUCAUGUGAAACCAAGAUUGAAUGAUGGCUUCUAUUAACUGGGUUUUAUUGCUAGGUCGCUUCUGACUAGCAAGUUUCUUUAGUUGGCUCCAUAGAUUUUCAAUUGGGUUAAGGUCUGGGCUAUUCCCAGGCCAUUCCAGGAGUGGAAUAGGAUUAUCUUGAAACUCCAAAAAAAAAAAAAAAAAAGAAAGAAAGAAAAGAAAAAAAAAAAGAAAAAAAGAAAGAAAAGAAAAGUGGUGUUAUUAGCCAUCAAACCUCAAAAAUACACUUUCCCCAAAAAGUUUCCACAAUUUUGCCCACUACUGUAUAGACUACAUUAGUAUUCUCCAAACUUUCCAACCUCCCAAUUGUAUAUCUAGAAGGCAUCAGACUGGGAAAACCUGGUGACGGAGCUGCAAUUCAAUAGAAGACUACAUACCCAGUUUCCCCUAAAAUAAGCCCUCCUCUGAAAAUAAGCCCUCCCUGAAAAUAUUUAAACACAUGCGCAGCUGGUCCCUGCCAUUUCCUUUGGUUUCCUCCAUGCACCCCAAAAUAAUAAGACCUCCCUGAAAAUAAGGCCAAGUGCUUAUUUCAGGGCUCAAAAAAAUUUAAGACAGGGUCUUAUUUUCAGGGAAACACAGUGCUUCUUACGCUCCAAGUCCCAGAUUCAAUCUUCAGAAUCUCCAGUUAGUGUAAGAAAAAGGUUGUGGACUACAAGUUUCAAUAGUGAAGUACUGAAUAUUUUGCUGCGAUGGAAUCACAUCACAUACGUAGUGGUUCAGGUUCUUCAGGUUAUGUUAAGGUGUUCCUUCGUUAUUUACCCGUGCUUCGCUUAUUUUACUGCUUAUAUUAAAAUUUUCAUUUGUUUCUCAUGUCAACAUGGCAUGUGUUCAGCUCUUAUGGUUAAAAGGACCCUGAAGGCUGCAGAAUGUGAGUUUAGAAAUGGCAUGAUGUCCUGUGGCUGCAGAUUUCCAGUCCUUGUGGUAGAACCACGACCAGUCCAUACCUUAACUAGAUAAAUUGAAAGGCAUACUUGAAUAGAGGCCAGUUUCUUAUGCCCACAGAGUUAUCCUUCAGAUAUCCUGGUGUUUUUCAGAUGUUUGGAUUAGAUACAGCCCUUCCCCAUUGUUUGCUAUGGCCGUAAGUUGAAAUCUGCAGCAUCUGGAGGACACCAGGUGGCCUACCCUUGACUGGUUCUAAACUUUCUUUAAAAUGCUAAAUUGGUGAAUGUAUUCAUAUUGAAUCAAGAUGUUGGGAUCCAAUGUUCAAAACAAACAACUAAGUGCUUCAGGGACCAGGUCUAGCAAACGCACUGAAAAUUGGCUAGUAUUUCUCGAGACAUCUGGCUGGUUUAAUGCCCCUAAUAGCUUGACAUUUGGCCCUGAAUUUCUUCAGCUAAACGUAUCCAUCUGUACCUGGUUUGUUUUUCUUUGUUUAUGGAUGAUCCUUCCAAACUAUACCACAUAUCAGGACCUACAGUCAGAAGUCAAUCCUCACUGUUUUUGUGUGAUGGAAUGAACUCGCCGAUAAGAUUUUGCAUCCCCUUAAAAGGGAAGCCCCAAAUCAUUUUAUUUAUUGAUUUAUAAAAUUUAUAGACUGCCCACCUUGCCUCAAAGAAUUGUCCC